GGGAUUAGAUACCCCUGUAGUCCUAGCCGUAAACGAUGGAUACUAGGCGUAGCUCGUAUCGACCCGAGCUGUGCCGGAGCUAACGCGUUAAGUAUCCCGCCUUGGGAGUACGCAGGCAACUGUGAAACUCAAAGGAAUUGACGGGGGCCCGCACAAGCGGUGGAGUAUGUGGUUUAAUUCGAUGCAACGCGAAGAACCUUACCAAGGCUUGACAUGUCACGAAUCCUGUAGAAAUAUAGGAGUGCCUUAGGGAGCGUGAACACAGGUGGUGCAUGGCUGUCGUCAGCUCGUGUCGUGAGAUGUUGGGUUAAGUCCCGCAACGAGCGCAACCCUCGUUUUUAGUUGCCAGCAUUAAGAUGGGCACUCUAGAGAGACUGCCGGUGACAAACCGGAGGAAGGUGGGGAUGACGUCAAGUCAGCAUGUCCCUUACGUCUUGGGCUACACACGUACAACAAUGCUACGGACAAAGGGCAGCUACACAGCGAUGUGAUGCGAAUCUCAUAAACCGUAGCUCAGUUCAGAUCGAAGGCUGCAACUCGCCUUCGUGAAGGAGGAAUCGCUAGUAAUUGCAGGUCAGCAUACUGCAGUGAACUCGUUCCCGGGCCUUGUACACACCGCCCGUCACACCAUGGAAGUUGGUCACGCCCGAAGUCGUUACCCCAACCUAUUGGAGGGGGAUGCCUAAGGUAGGACUGAUGACUGGGGUGAAGUCGUAACAAGGUAGCCGUACCGGAAGGUGUGGCUGGAUCACCUCCUUUUAGGGAGACCUAAUCCAUUUAGUAAUCGAAAGCAGUGAAAAUUGUGGGUAGAAACUAAAUUGGUCUAACCUAGGCCGGUCGCAGACUUGAAGUAAAGCUUUCAAACUAUGAUUUGGUUCGAUAAGGGCUAUUAGCACAGGUGGUUAGAGCGCACCCCUGAUAAGGGUGAGGUCCCUGGUUCGAGUCCAGGAUGGCCCACCUGAAGGAAUUCAAAAAUCAAAAGUCAAAAGUCAAAAUUAAAUAUUUUUGAAGCAUGACUAGAAAUUUUGAGUUCUUUUUGGGGGUUUAGCUCAGUUGGUAGAGCGCCUGCUUUGCAAGCAGGAUGUCACCGGUUCGAGUCCGCUAACCUCCACAUUGGAAAAAAGACAGCACCUAAUUGGAAAAGUUAGACUGCUGGAUGAAAUUCCAGCCAGAACCUUGAAAACUGCAUAAGAGAACGAGAAAAAGCAGGCAGACACGGACAUUUAAAUGGAUGUGAAAGCAAAGAAAAAUUGUGGUCAAGCUAAUAAGGGCUAAUGGUGGAUACCUWGGCACACAGAGGCGADG
rnacentral:sRNA from 1 species